UCCCGUUUGACACGGGCAGUCCCUCUAGAGGGCCCAACUUAAUGAUGGCAACUAGAGGCAAGGGUUGCGCUCGUUGCGGGACUUAACCCAACAUCUCACGACACGAGCUGACGACAGCCAUGCAGCACCUGUGUCCAGGUUCCCUUUCGGGCACCCCUCCAUCUCUGGAGGGUUCCUGGCAUGUCAAGGGUAGGUAGGGUUUUUCGCGUUGCAUCGAAUUAAUCCACAUAAUCCACCGCUUGUGCGGGUCCCCGUCAAUUCCUUUGAGUUUUAACCUUGCGAUCGUACUCCCCAGGCGGAAUGCUUAAUGCGUUAGCUGCGCCACCGAAGAGCAAGCUCCCCAACGGCUGGCAUUCAUCGUUUACGGCGUGGACUAC
rnacentral:misc_RNA from 1 species